GCGAAGGUAGAAUCAUCCAAGACCCUACCGCCCACAUCAUCAGGUUCCGUAUCCAAGAGACCAAGCGACGCUCCGAGGGCCAUGCCAUCCAUGCGUGAGCAAAGACAACAUGGGCCACAGAGACCACUUCGAGGUUCGUGCAACGCCGCAAGCGGCGCAUUACGAAUAUUUACUUCGAUCAAGCCAUACGAUGCCCUUGAUUAGGUAUGCAACACAGGAAACCCACCGUAUGCACAAGACAAACAAGGCCUUGUAGCACAACUGAAGAGGCUUGGACGCAUGAAAGUUCCUGCACAAGCAGCCAACAAACACCCGUAACAAGCCAAACACAACUCAUACACCUUUACAACAAGCAUUCCAGAGGACGACCUAGCUUCCAACCACUCCCUUGGCACUAACACCAAGCAAG
rnacentral:misc_RNA from 1 species